CAAAUGGCCCUUUUCAGGGCCACAAAAUUUUCUCAAUGAAGGAAUA
rfam:Cyphomyrmex costatus contig23834, whole genome shotgun sequence.